CGCUGGCGGCAGGCCUAACACAUGCAAGUCGUAACAAGGUAACCGUAAGCUUGCUGCUUUGCUGACGAGUGGCGGACGGGUGAGUAAUGUCUGGGAAACUGCCUGAUGGAGGGGGAUAACUACUGGAAACGGUAGCUAAUACCGCAUAACGUCGCAAGACCAAAGAGGGGGACCUUCGGGCCUCUUGCCAUCGGAUGUGCCCAGAUGGGAUUAGCUAGUAGGUGGGGUAAAGGCUCACCUAGGCGACGAUCCCUAGCUGGUCUGAGAGGAUGACCAGCCACACUGGAACUGAGACACGGUCCAGACUCCUACGGGAGGCAGCAGUGGGGAAUAUUGCACAAUGGGCGCAAGCCUGAUGCAGCCAUGCCGCGUGUAUGAAGAAGGCCUUCGGGUUGUAAAGUACUUUCAGCGGGGAGGAAGGGAGUAAAGUUAAUACCUUUGCUCAUUGACGUUACCCGCAGAAAAAGGACCGGCUAACUCCGUGCCAGCAGCCGCGGUAAUACGAAGGGUGCAAGCGUUAAUCGGAAUUACUGGGCGUAAAGCGCACGCAGGCGGUUUGUUAAGUCAGAUGUGAAAUCCCCGGGCUCAACCUGGGAACUGCAUCUGAUACUGGCAAGCUUGAGUCUCGUAGAGGGGGGUAGAAUUCCAGGUGUAGCGGUGAAAUGCGUAGAGAUCUGGAGGAAUACCGGUGGCGAAGGCGGCCCCCUGGACGAAGACUGACGCUCAGGUGCGAAAGCGUGGGGAGCAAACAGGAUUAGAUACCCUGGUAGUCCACGCCGUAAACGAUGUCGACUUGGAGGUUGUGCCCUUGAGGCGUGGCUUCCGGAGCUAACGCGUUAAGUCGACCGCCUGGGGAGUACGGCCGCAAGGUUAAAACUCAAAUGAAUUGACGGGGGCCCGCACAAGCGGUGGAGCAUGUGGUUUAAUUCGAUGCAACGCGAAGAACCUUACCUGGUCUUGACAUCCACAGAACCUUGUAGAGAUACGAGGGUGCCUUCGGGAACUGUGAGACAGGUGCUGCAUGGCUGUCGUCAGCUCGUGUUGUGAAAUGUUGGGUUAAGUCCCGCAACGAGCGCAACCCUUAUCCUUUGUUGCCAGCGGUCCGGCCGGGAACUCAAAGGAGACUGCCAGUGAUAAACUGGAGGAAGGUGGGGAUGACGUCAAGUCAUCAUGGCCCUUACGACCAGGGCUACACACGUGCUACAAUGGCGCAUACAAAGAGAAGCGACCUCGCGAGAGCAAGCGGACCUCAUAAAGUGCGUCGUAGUCCGGAUUGGAGUCUGCAACUCGACUCCAUGAAGUCGGAAUCGCUAGUAAUCGUGGAUCAGAAUGCCACGGUGAAUACGUUCCCGGGCCUUGUACACACCGCCCGUCACACCAUGGGAGUGGGUUGCAAAAGAAGU
rnacentral:rRNA from 1 species